ensembl:misc_RNA
GGCAGCCAGACAGUUUUGCUUGGAUCUCAGGGGUGGCCACGUGGCCAUACGUCCAGGGCUCUGAGAUGUCUGUGCCCCAAGCCGGCCAGAAAGGGACUUAUGGCCGCAGGCAGGAUUUGUACGGCUCCUGCUGUGGGGAGGCCCCUUAGGGUAAACAGUGAGAUUUUCUGGGAAAUGUACAUAAGGCCAGGCUGUCGGGAAAGG